GAUGAACGCUGGCGGCGUGCCUAAUACAUGCAAGUCGAGCGAACGGACGAGAAGCUUGCUUCUCUGAUGUUGGCGGCGGACGGGGGAGUAACACGUGGAUAAACUAUCUAUAAGACUGGACUGACUUCGGGAAACCGGAACUAAGGCCGAAUAAUAUAUAGAACCGCAUGGUGCAAAAGUGAAAGAAGGUCUUGCUUUCACUUAUAGAUGGAUCCGCGUUGCAUUAGCUAGUUGGUAAGGUAAAGGCUUACCACGACAAAGAUGCAUAGCCGUCCUGAGAGGGUGAUCGGUCACAUUGGAACUUGGACACGGUCCAGCCUCCGACGGGAGGCAGCAGUAGGGACUCUUCCGCAAUCGGCAAAAGCCUAACGGAGCAACGCCGCGUGAGUGAGGAAGGUCUUCGGCUCGUAAAACUCUGUUACUAGCGAAGUACAUAUGUGUAAGUAACUGUGCGCAUAUUGACGGUACCUAAUCAGAAAGCCACGGCUAACUACGUG
rnacentral:rRNA from 1 species